rnacentral:rRNA from 1 species
CUACGGGCUGCUGCAGUGAGGAAUAUUGCACAAUGGGGGGAACCCUGAUGCAGCAACGCCGCGUGGAGGAUGACGCAUUUCGGUGUGUAAACUCCUUUUAUAUGUCAAGAAAAUGACGGUAGCAUAUGAAUAAGCACCGGCUAACUCCGUGCCAGCAGCCGCGGUAAUACGGAGGGUGCAAGCGUUACUCGGAAUCACUGGGCGUAAAGGACGCGUAGGCGGGUUGGAAAGUCAGGUGUGAAAUCCUACAGCUUAACUGUAGAACUGCACCUGAAACUUCUAAUCUAGAGUAUGGGAGGGGGAGAUGGAAUUAGUGGUGUAGGGGUACAAUCCGUAGAUAUCACUAGGAAUACCUAAAGCGAAGGCGAUCUCCUGGAACAUUACUGACGCUAAGGCGUGAAAGCGUGGGGAGCAAACAGGAUUAGAUACCCCUGUAGUC